GGAGAGAUGUCCGAGUUGGCUUAAGGAGCACGACUGGAAAUCGUGUGUAUACCAAAAGUGUACCGAGGGUUCGAAUCCCUCUCUCUCCGCCA
rnacentral:tRNA from 1 species